rnacentral:sRNA from 1 species
GUGUGGAAAAUUUGGGUUUGGACUUUAGUCUAAGCAAUUCAUAUGGUAUUCGAGAUUAGACUAACGUGAUUCCGAGUAUCAGUCGAAACACAUUCCAAAUUUGGAACAGACGGUAUGGUGAUCCUUCGGAGAAAAGUUCACAAUGAAGUAUUUCGGUGUAUUCGAUAGGGUAUAUUAAAAGAAA